UCUCUCGAUUUCUUUGUGUUGUGUGCUUCCAACAUCUUCCACUUUUCACUUUCCUCUUCUUUCCUUCUCUUUCCGUUUCUCUCAUCCUAGAACGGAAGAACAAUGGAAAAUCAGAAACCCACAUCAUCAUCAUCUAUUCCUCAUCAACACAGAGCCGAAGAGUUUUUCAACAUUAAGAUUUAGAUACCCGAGGUUGGUUGACGGAUUUUGCCUCUGAACUCAAUUCAGUUCCUAAAUUUCAUCAGUUUUUGGAUUCGGUCAGGAUCGGUUUUUUACCCACGAAAUCUAGAAUCUUCUGAUGGCUUUUUCUAGGUUCGGUGAAUUUACAGGGGAGAGGGAGAGAAAGGCCUGUUGAGACCUGGACUGUCGAAUGGAGAGGAUGAAAAGCAACUGCAGGAAACCGGCAAAUUGGUGCAAUUUUUUGCUCUUUUAUUAAAUUGUCCAUUCCUGCCAAAUUUUAAACGAACUGGAGAGUGUGUUCUUUGCAAUCUUAAGCCAGAAAACAUGUGGAGUAUUAAGUCAGAAUGGUUCUUGCUGCUUCAGACAGUGGCCACACCACAUGAUUGCUUCAACCCAAAAACUUUUGCUCAUGUGUCAAAGGAUGUUGGCAUCUGUUAUCCAAAACAAACGAGUAUGGGAUCACAUUUUUUGUGUGUGUAAAUAGUUGAUCCAAACAUGAAUUAUCAAGGUGGAAUACUAGGUUAAUCAUUUUUGUAUACUAUUAAAGCAUUUGAUAAUGUCUUUUCUGUAAGUUAUAUAAAUUUUGACAGCUUUGUAAAUAUGUUUAUUCCAUUUUCUGUUUAGUAUUUAUAACACUUUGCA